UACAGAGGUCUCGAGCGUUGUUCGGAUUCAUUGGGCGUAAAGAGCGUGUAGGUGGACUGGAAGGUCUGGUGUGAAAGCCCGGGGCUCAACCCCGGAGGGUCACUGGAAACCAACAGUCUUGAGUCUGGAAGAGGAGAGUGGAAUUCCUGGUGUAGCGGUGAAAUGCGCAGAUAUCAGGAGGAACACCCAUUGCGAAGGCAGCUCGCUGGGACGUUACUGACGCUGAGACGCGAAAGCGUGGGGAGCAAACAGG
rnacentral:rRNA from 1 species